AUAUUGCCGGGUUUCUGCUCCUGAGCCGAGCACGCAGCCUAACUUCGACCCAGACGCUAUCCUGCCAAAGUCCACACAAAUGUUCCUUUCCGCUGUCAUCUGUGCCAUUCCCAGACCAAGGCCAGUUGGUGAAGAAUGUUUAGCACAGGCCUGCUUCAACUUUCACCGCGUAUGAUUAAAAAACAAUGUAUACCAAAAGAAAUAGUAAAUUUCCAAUCUCCAAAUCAGGAAUGCUGGAGAGAAAGGUUAGGUUAACAGAACAAGUUUGUUUUGGACUCUCACCUUUCAUUUGAUCUUUUUAGGAAUAAAAUGUAGUGAUUAAGUUAAGCUAGCCCAAAAUCUCAUGUAUAACACUAAAAAGCCAUGUGUUUCUUAUUGCUAUAUCUAUUACACCCUCUUUAACUUACUUUUAAACUUUUUUCCUCGACUCCUUCUGUAAUCCUACUUUUUUAUAUUUUUUCCUUUUUUUUUACAGUAGCGCUUCUAAAGUCCAGCUGUCCAUGACGUCAUUAAUUUUACUCAUACUUUAUGGGUGCUCCAUGUGGGGAAGAAAGAAAAAAAACGGCAAGGAAACAAGGACAGAAGCAAAACAAUGUGUGGAAAGAGAGAAUGAGGGCAGGCAAAAGGGGGAGAAAGAACGAGGGAGUAAGAGAGAGAGGAAGAGAGGUUGGGGUGUUGCGGAAGGAUCUUUUUUUCAGUGCAUUGCAUGUAUAAUGAAUGAGGGGGCACUUUGCUUGAAACUCCAGCCUGAUGUUGUACUCUCCAGCGUUUGCUCGGCAGAGUGGGGCCUUGUGAUCUCACCACUCUUCUGGGCCCUGCCAAUAGAUGCUUUCACCUGGCAUUGUGGUUUCGACCCAGUGGAAAAACAAAUAACAGUGUGUGUGUGUUUGUGUCUUCGUGUGUGUGUGUGUGUGUGUGUGUGUGUGUGUGUGUGUGUGUGUGUGUGUACAAUGGAACAAGGGUUUGGUUGAAGGGCAGAGGAAUGGAUAAGGGUCAGGG
ensembl:lncRNA